AUUGAACGCUGGCGGCAGGCCUAACACAUGCAAGUCGAGCGGAUGAGGGGCGCUUGCACCCCGAUUCAGCGGCGGACGGGUGAGUAAUGCCUAGGAAUCUGCCCGAUAGAGGGGGACAACGUUUCGAAAGGAAAGCUAAUACCGCAUACGUCCUACGUGAGCAAGGGGGGGCCCUUCGGACAUCCAGCUAUGGGAUGAGCCUAGGUCGGGGUAGCUAGUUGGUGGGGUAAAGGCUCACCAAGGCGACGAUCCGUAACUGGUCUGAUAUGAUGAUCAGUAACACUGGAACUGAUACACGGUCCAGACUCCUACGGUAGGCAGCAGUGGGGAAUAUUGGACAAUGGGCGAAAGCCUGAUCCAGCCAUGCCGCGUGUGGGAAGAAGGUCUUCGGAUUGUAAAGCACUUUAAGUCGGGAGGAAGGGCUGCAGGUUAAUUCCUUGCAGCCUUGACGUUACCGACAGAAUAAGCACCGGCUAACUUCGUGCCAGCCGCCGCCGUAACAC
rnacentral:rRNA from 1 species